UCAUCUGAAUCAUCCGUGAUCAGUCCAUGUAGGUAUAUCUUUAAACCGAGUAAGGUUUCACAGACUUAUGAGAUGGGGAAGAAUGUUGAGAAGGAAGCCUUAUGCCAGAAUGUUGAGAAACAGAGGGAUGAAGAAAAAUAAUUGAUCUUACUGACUUCUGCAAGAAUGUUGAGACGGAAGCCUCAUGCCAGAAUGUUGAGAAACAUAGGGAUGAAGAAAAAAUAAUUGAUCUUACUGACUCCUGCAAGAAUGUUGAGAAGGAGGCCCUCUGCAAAAAUGUUGAGAAACAGAAGGUUAGGGAGUUUAAGGUUGAUGUUAACAUGGAUGUGAAAGACGAAGCAGUCCUGGACUAUGUUUAUAAUGGAGUUGGCAGUGAAUUGAUUCUCGCUGAGUGCAAUGGUCAGAGUUGUAAGAGGAGUAGUGCAAGGACUCUCCUACCGAACACAUGGCUUAAAGAUGAGGCUGUGACCAUAUUUGCCUCUUAUCUACUUGCAGGCAGCAUUGGCGACAAUGUUUAUUUCCACACUUUUUUCAGCAAGAAGCUACAAUCAUACUAUACGUAUGAAAAACCGGUAGGAAAAGUUCCUACACCAAAGAAAAUGUGGGUAAAAAGUUAGAGUAAAUACCUUCCUCAUUGCAAAAAGGUUAGUUUACAGUUGUUUUUAUAAUCAAUAAGGUUGAGUGAUAUUUGGAUUUUGUAUGAUGUCUCACAUUAUGAUUUUUUUUUUUUAACUAGAUGUUAUACCAAUCCAUGACUCAGGUCAUUGGUAUCUCUUUGUUGUGCGUAUAGAUAAUGAGACAGGAGAAUACUGGGAUAGCCUUGGAGACAAAAAAUCACGCAAGGAUCACUGCAAAGAUAUUGUAAGUCACACGAAGCCUUUUGAAUUCAUAAUCCCAGUAUCAUUGUAUACUCAGUUGCAUGGUUAUUCUUUCAUGAUGUAACAGCUGAAAGUCUUUGACAUUAAUUUCGGCCAUCUUGUGAAGAAGACUAAGAAAUUUGAAGAUUUUCCCAUUUUUAAGCCGUCACAAUGUCCUAAACAAGAGGGUACUGAUGACUGCGGGAUCUUUACAAUCAAACACAUGGAGCAGUAUGGUGAAGAGUGGUGGACUGAGGUAUGUUUUUCAUUUAUACUAGAGAAUUUGAAUGGUAAUGAGUGGCAUGGGCAUUAACUUCAUUGAAAUUUAUGCAUCGCAGUAUAACUCAAAAGAGGUUCGCAAAGAGCUAACCUUGAAAUUCAUAAGGAAUGGAUACAACAGCAGAUGACAAAUGAUGUGUAGAAACAUAAAAAAAAGAUUAAAGAAUAAGAAACUGGAAAACAAGAUUGAAGAGCCUCAGAACAAUCAAGAGACUGAGAAGCGCGGAAAGAAUGUACAAGUCCUGAAGCAAGUGAAGAUUGAACCAACUGAGAGCAACACAAACGGAAAACCACAAGUGCACAGAACUGUAAAACCUCGCAACAGAACCGUAAAACCUCGCACCAGAAAGAGUAAUGUCCAAAGUGUCCGCUGUAGCCGUUGGUAGAACCUAUGUCCCCUUAUUGUAAAACCUCAUGCUCUCACAUGCGAUGUGUACUAUAUUACUAUGUAUUAACUACUUUAUUAUGUGUACAUUAUUCACAUGAGAUGUGUACUUUAUUACGACAUAUUAACUACUUUAUUAUGUGUACUUUCUUGAGAGGUCUACCUGUUUAAGAAACCUUGUCUGCUUAUUUACGAGUGAGGGUCUACUUUUAUUGUUACACAAAAUAGUCUACCUGUUAACGAAGCUUGGUUUGCUUAUUUACGAGUACGGGUCUACUUUUUCUGGUGAGACAAAAUGGUCUACAUGUUUACGAACAACUAACCUACCUGUUUUGUGAACGUGGUGUAUCAGCGCUUCAAACGAUUGACUCACCCUACGAGUAGACCAAGAAUAAAGUGUCCAGAAUUCAACGACAUUUAAAGAAUUCUUGAUAGGUCUACCUAUUUACGAAGCCUGGUCUGCUUAUUUACGAGUACAGGUCUACUUUUUUUGUGAGACAAAAUGGUCUACCUGUUUACGAACACUAACCUACCUGUUUUGUUGACGUGGUGUACCAGCGUUUCGAACCACUGACUCACAGUACGAGUAGACCAACUCUAAAGUGUCCAGAAUUCACAGACACUUAAACAAUUUUUGAUAGGUCUACCUGUUUAUGAAGCCUGUUCUACUUAUUUACGUGUACGGGUCUCCUUUUUUUUUAAACUAAAAUGGUCUACCUGUUUACGAACACAAACGUACCUGUUUUGUGAAUGUGGUGUACCAGCGUUUCGAACCACAGACUCACAGUACGAGUAGACUAACUCUAAAGUGUCCAGAAUUUACAGACACUUAAACAAUUUUUGAUAGGUCUACCUGUUUAUAAACAAUGUUCUGCUUAUUUACGAGUACGGGUCUCUUUUUUUAUGUGAGACAAAAUGGUCUACUUGUUUACGAACACUAACCUAUCUAUUUUGUGAACGUGGUGUAUCAGCGCUUCGAACCAUUAACUCACACUACGUGUAGACCAACUCUAAAGUGUCCAGAAUUCACACACUUGCAGAAUUAUUGAUAGGUCCACCUGUUUAAGAAGUCUGGUCUAUUUAUUUAUGAGUACGGGUCUACUUUUUUUGUGAGACAAAAUGGUCUACCUGUUUACGAACAGUAACCUACCUGUUCUGUGAACGUGGCGUAACAGUUCUUCGAACCACUGACUCAAACUACAACUAGACCAAGAAUAAAGUGUUCAGAAUUCACAGACACUUGAAUAAUUCUUGAGAGGUCUACCUGUUUACGAAGCCUGGUCUGCUUAUUUACUAGUACGGGUCUACUUUUUUUGUGAGACAAAAUGGUUUACCUGUUUACGAACACUAACAUAUCUGUUUUGUGAACGUGGUGUACCAGCGCUACAAACCACUGACUAACACUACGAGUAGACCAACUCUAAAGUGUCCAGAAUUCAUAGACACUUGAAGAAUUCUUGAUAGGUCUACCUGUUUACCAUGCCUGGUCUACUUAUUUACGAGUACGAGUCUCAUUUUUUAUGUGAGAAAAAUGGUCUACCUGUUUACGAACACUAACCUACCUGCUUUGUGAACGUGGUGUACCACUUCUUCGUACCUACGAGUAGACCAAGAAUAUAGUGUCCAAGAUUCACAGACACUUGAAGAAUUCUUGAGAGGUCUACCCGUUUUUGAAGCUUGGUCUGCUUCUUUACGAGUACGGGUCUCCUUUUUUUUGUGAGACAAAAUGGUCUACCUUUUUACAAACACUAACCUACCUGUUUUGUUGACGUGGUGUAGCAGCGCUUCGAACCACUGACUCACACUACGAGUAGACCAACUCUAAAGUGUCCAGAAUUCACAGACACUUAAACAAUUUUUGAUAGGUCUACCUGUUUAGGAAGCCUGUUCUACUUAUUUACGUGUACGGGUCUCCGUUAUUUUUUUGAGACAAAAUGGUCUACUUGUUUACGAACACUAACCUACCUGUUUGGUGAACGUGGUAUACCAGUUCUUCGUACCUCUGACUCACACUACGAGUAGACCAAAAAUAAAGUGUCCAGAAUUCAUAGACACUUGAAGAAUUCUUGAGAGGUCUACCUGUUUACGAAGUCUGGUCUGCUUAUUUACGAGUACGGGUUACCUUUUGUUAGUGAGACAAAAUUGUCUACUUGUUUACAAACACUAACCUACCUGUUUUGUGAACGUGGUGUAUCAGCGACACUAACCUAGUAGACCAAGAAUAAAGUGUCCAAAAUUCAACGACAUUUAAAGAAUUCUUGAUAGGUCUACCUGUUUACGAAGCCUAGUCUGGUUAUUUAUGAGUAAGUGUCUAUUUUUUUGUGAGACAACAUAGUCUACCUGUUUAUGAACACAAACCUAUUUGUUUUGUGAACAUGGUGUACCAGCGCUUCGAACCACUGACUCACAGUACGAGUAGACCAACUCUAAAGUGUCCAGAAUUCAAAGACACUUAAAGAAUUCUUGAUAGGUCUACCUGUUUACCAUGCCUGGUCUGCUUAUUUACGAGUACGGGUCAACUUUUUUUGUGAGCCAAAAUGGUCUACCUGUUUAUGAACACUAACCUACAUGUUUUGUGAACGUGGUGUAUCAACGCUUCGAACCACUGAUUCACACUAUGAAUAGACCAAGAAUAAAGUGUCCAGAAUUCAACGAUAUUUAAAGAAUUCUUGAUAGUUCUACCUGUUUACGAAGUCUAGUCUGGUUAUUUACGAGUACGGGUCUACUUUUUUUAUGAGACAAAAUGGUCUACCUGUUUAUGAACGUGAUGUACCAGCGCUUCGAACCACUGACUCACAGUAUGAGUAGACAAACUCUAAAGUGUCCAGAAUUCGAAGACACUUGAAGAAUUCUUGAUAGGUCUACCUGUUUACCAAUCCUGGUCUACCUAUUUACGAGUACGGGUCUACUUUUUUUGUGAGACAAAAUGGUCUACUUUGUUUACGAACACUAACCUACCUGUUUUGUGAACGUGGUGUACUAGCGCUUCGAAUCACUGACUCACACUACGAGUAGACCAACUCUAAAGUGUUCAGAAUUCACAGACACUUGAAGAAUUCUUUAGAGGUUUACCUGUUUACGAAGCCUGGUCUGCUUAUUUACGAGUACGGGUCUACUUUUUUUGUGAGACAAAAUGGUCUACCUGUUUAUGUACAUUAACCUACCAGUUUGGUAAACGUGGUGUACAAGGUUUACGAAUAUUAACCUACCUAUUUUGUUUGUUUACAUGGUGUACAUUAUCCUCCAUCAUACAUUCUGGAAAUCAAAACCAAGGCAAGGUAGAGGUCCUAACAGUUCCUAGUUGUUAAACGAAAAACAUAAUACACAUAAUAUCAUAUGGUGCUAUUUUUACAAACACAUGUGUCACACCCCAAUUUUGGUAAUUUUUUUUUUUGA
rnacentral:lncRNA from 1 species